rnacentral:misc_RNA from 1 species
UGUCAUUGUGUAUGAUGUUGCAAGUAUGCAAUUUUAUGCUAAUAUUUUCCAUAAGUUGUCACUGUCAUUUAAGCAGCUUAAUAAAUUUGCAUAUUAAAAAAGAUUAGAUAAAGCCACUUUAUCUACCUGCCAAUUUCCUUUUUCAUAUAUUGCUUUAUAUAAGGGUGUAAAGUUGCUUUAUUUGCUUUUACUGCAUUUUGGAACUCAUUAGACCUGUCUUUUUAUCUCUCCCCUUCCUUUCUUAUUUGUUUGGGAAUCAUGAUCUCACACUUUGUGAACGUUUCUUAACUUGAUAUUUUGCCUCAGG